rnacentral:rRNA from 1 species
UACGAAGGGGGCUAGCGUUGUUCGGAAUCACUGGGCGUAAAGCGCACGUAGGCGGAUCCUUAAGUCAGGGGUGAAAUCCCGAGGCUCAACCUCGGAACUGCCUUUGAUACUGGGGAUCUUGAGUCCGGGAGAGGUGAGUGGAAUUGCGAGUGUAGAGGUGAAAUUCGUAGAUAUUCGGAAGAACACCAGUGGCGAAGGCGACUCGCUGGACAGGUAUUGACGCUGAGGUGCGAAAGCGUGGGGAGCAAACAGG